AUGUCCGAAACCCUAGCCCUAAAUCAUUGAAUUCCUUUACUUUGCUCAUGAUCCACCAUGGUUUUUGGCAUCAAGGAUGGAGAACAAGGGAGGAUCGAUGUUUUUACCCGAUUAGAACUUGGAUUUGUGAAGGCUUCUUCUCAAGCUCACUUCUUUGCUUGAUUAUUGAGGUCAGCAACCAGGUGGUCAGUCCUAGCCAAGACGUCCGCUUUCUUUUGUCAACCUUCGUAUGUCCAGGCACUGUAUAAGCCAUUUAUUUUGUCAAGUUGUUAAGAUGUUGACUUGCUUAUGGGUGUCCCUCUAAGGUUGAUGUAUAUACUUUCAUGUUCAUUUUUUUUGUAUACGCCCAAUCAUGGGGCUGGCAUUGUAAAUGUGUAUGUAUAUGCUCCGGGUUAUAGUUGGAACUUUAUCUAUCCACUAUAAUGCAUGUGAUGAAUGAGAUCCUGGCAUGUAGAAGUAGCUCAAUGGAGUUUAUUUGUUUCAUUA